rnacentral:rRNA from 1 species
UUCCGGUUGAUCCCGCCGGAGGCCAUUGCGGUUGGGAUCCGAUUUAGCCAUGCUAGUCGCACGAGUUCAGACUCGUGGCGAAUAGCUCAGUAACACGUGGCCAAACUACCCUUCGGAGCUCCAUACCCUCGGGAAACUGAGGCUAAUAGAGCAUCCCACACCACCACUGGAAUGAGUAGUGUGACAAACGCUCCGGCGCCGAAGGAUGUGGCUGCGGCCGAUUAGGUAGACGGUGGGGUAACGGCCCACCGUGCCAAUAAUCGGUAUGGGUCAUGAGAGUGAGAACCCAGAGACGGAAUCUGAGACAAGAUUCCGGGCCCUACGGGGCGCAGCAGGCGCGAAACCUUUACACUGCACGACAGUGCGAUAGGGGGAUCCCAAGUGCACAGGCAUAGCGCCUGUGCUUUUCGGCACCCUAAGGCGGUGCCAGAAUAAGGGCUGGGCAAGACCGGUGCCAGCCGCCGCGGUAAUACCGGCAGCCCGAGUGAUGGCCGAUCUUAUUGGGCCUAAAGCGUCCGUAGCUGGCCGCGCAAGUCCAUCGGGAAAUCCACCUGCCCAACAGGUGGGCGCCCGGUAGAAACUGCGUGGCUUGGGACCGGAAGGCGCGACGGGUACGUCCGGGGUAGGAGUGAAAUCCCGUAAUCCUGGACGGACCGCCGAUGGCGAAAGCACGUCGCGAGAACGGAUCCGACAGUGAGGGACGAAAGCCAGGGUCUCGAACCGGAUUAGAUACCCGGGUAGUCCUGGCCGUAAACAAUGUCUGCUAGGUGUGGCUCCCA